GACGAACGCUGGCGGCGUGCUUAACACAUGCAAGUCGAACGGAAAGGCCUGCUUUCCCUUGUGGAUUGCGGGUACUCGAGUGGCGAACGGGUGAGUAACACGUGAGUGAUCUGCCCCCAACUUGGGUAUAAGCCUGGGAAACUGGGUCUAAUUCCCGAUAGGACUGCAGGGUGGUGCCUGUGGUGGAAAACGAUUUUCUAGUGGUUGGGGAUGAGCUCGCGGCCUAUCAGGUUGUUGGUGGGGUAAUGGCCUACCAAGGCGGCGACGGGUAGCCGGCCGGAGAGGGGGGACGGCCACAUUGGGACUGGGAUACGGCACAGACGCCUACGGGAGGCAGCAGUGGGGAAUAUUGCACGAGGGGCGGAAGCCUGAGGCAGCGACGCCGAGUGGGGGAUGACGGCCUUCGGGUUGUAAACUCCUUUCGACCGCGAGGAAGCCACCUGGUUGGAAGGGUGGUGACGGUAGUGGUAGAAGAAGCACCGGCUAACUACGUG
rnacentral:rRNA from 1 species